AUAUGAAACGCGGUGGCAAACUUGUAAAUAAGUGAAAAGUUUUCUUUAUGUAUUAUAACGGAAUUUGAGAAACCAGUUAUAAUAUGCCUUCCUCCCUAAUUUUCCACUUUUCCCUUUCUCUAAUUUCAUUUCACGUUCCCUCUCUUCUUCGUCUCUAAACCCUUGUGUCUCUCUUCACUCAUAAGCUUUGCUCUGUUGGCUCUUCGUCGCUUCUUCCCAUCAUCACGCACACAUAGCAUAGAGUUCCGACGACAUUCCGUCAAUGCCUAACCAUCAACGACGUAUUCGAUUGAGACUUUGCCGUGUGGCCACCACUGUCGCGCGUCUGAAGUAGCCACCGCAAGCACUUCCUUGUUGCUCAACGCCUAGGGUUCGAACUGCAGGGCACUUGCCCUGCUUGGAUUCGCCUCCGCUCUUCUCCACCAUUCGCUGUUGGAUUUCGCCCUUUGCGCUCGUCUCUUGCAUUGAAUUAGGAAUUGCAUUGAAGCUGAACCUAGCCUAUUUUUGAUCUUUGGAAGCUCAUUCAAGGUUGCAGGGUGUUCCAUCUGUUUCUAGGAAGGAGAUGCAAAUAAUCACACCUAAUUGUCGACGUCAACUGGGCAGUUAUGAAUGUGGGUAUUAUGUAAUGAAACACAUGCAUACCAUUAUUUGUACAAACAUUAUUGAAUCAUGGAAAGAGAUCUUUAAUGAUUCAUCUCCCAUGGAAGUUGCAGUCAUUGACGAUAUUAGAAGGAACUGGGCAUCUUUUAUUUUAAGUAUUAGUAGAAACUUGGCUACAAUUCAAUAGUAUAUGUACAUUUGGAUUUAAUAUAUACUUUCAUGCACAAACGAUGUAUUAAAUAUCAUUAGACUAUUUAAAGUUUGAAA